rfam:Allomyces macrogynus mitochondrial DNA, complete genome.
UUGAGCCGUAUGCGAUGAAAGUUGCACGUACGGUUCUUACCGGGGGAAAGCUUGAGAGAGCCUACCUAUCGGAAC